AAAGGAGCGUGAACAGGGGCUCUACGUUUGCUACACCAUGGAGCACAGAAGUUGAUGGGCUGUCCCAGACGCCAGUUGACAUUUUGUCCCCAGUCCAAGCGAAUGCAACAUAAAAAACUCACUCAGGCAUGAAACCGGGAGGAACGCCGAGCUCAUCCUCUGCCCCCAGCGUGCACCUCUUGGUGGGGAGUGCAAGAAAAUUUGUCUGCUCAGCAUCCAUGAUGUGACUCUCCGCUUCCUCCACAUCCGGAAAACGCUCGACUGGAUUGAGAUCUGGUGACUAUGGAGGCCACUGAGGAACAGUGAACUCAGUAUCAUGUCCAAGAGAUCAGUUUAAUGUAAUCCGAGCAUUGUGAGCUGGUUAACCUGCAGAAAGAAUCCAGCAGAGGAUACUGUGGUCAUGAAAGAAUGGACAUGGUUAGCAACAAUACUAAGGUGCUGGUACUAACUAUUAUGGCACGUGCCCGAGGGAAAUAUCCCCCACACCACCAGCCCCAGCCAGAA